rnacentral:lncRNA from 1 species
CUAUAUGAUCUUUAAAACAACUUCGCUGAACCUUCCUGCCCAAUUGCACCAUAGAAGUUGAUGAGAAUGAGAUUCUGCUUCAUUUUACACAUAACGGCUAUUAGAAGUAAGAUCUCCAUUCAUUUUUGCCGGAUAAUGAUGAACAAAAAAACAAACUAAAGGGCCUCUAGGACUGAAAUCCUUAUUCAAUAUUUUAAAACUAGAGUAUGUUCGUCCUGUCUGCAGAUCAUAGCUUCUAAUCUUGGAGCCAAGCAAGUCCUUUUGUCCAGUCUUACGGAUUAUGACUUGGCUAGAUUUUGUUAUUAGAAUCUAAUUGAGAUUAAAUCAACGGAUGAAAUAAAUGGUAGAUGAUACUGAUUCAUGAGGUAUUCCAUCAUACUGGCAAGAGAAAGGCUGAGUAAGAGCAAGAUAUGGCUGUGAUUGAGAACAUUCCACAAAGAAAAAGAGUACUGAUGAAAAUGGAUUUUCCUUGGUGAAUAAUAUUACACCUCAUUUUUGAGCU